GACGAACGCUGGCGGCGUGCCUAAUACAUGCAAGUAGAACGCUGAAGCGAGGAGCUUACUCUUCUUGGAUGAGUUGCGAACGGGUGAGUAACGCGUAGGUAACCUGCCUUGUAGCGGGGGAUAACUAUUGGAAACGAUAGCUAAUACCGCAUAACAAUGGAAGACACAUGUCACUUAUUUGAAAGGGGCAAUUGCUCUACUGCAAGAUGGACCUGCGUUGUAUUAGCUAGUAGGUGAGGUAAUGGCUCAACUAGGCGACGGUACAUAAGCGACCCGGGGAGGGGGUCCGCCCAACCGGGAACUGAGCACGGCCCAGACUCCCACCGGGAGGAAGAGGUGGGGAACCUCGGCCAUGGGGGCAAACCUGAACGGGCAACGCCGCGUGGGUGAAGAAGGUUUUCGGGUCGUAAAGCUCUGUUUUUAGUCGAGAACGGGUGUGGGAGUGGAAAGUUCACACUGUGACGGUAGCUUACCAGAAAGGGACGGCUAACUACGUG
rnacentral:rRNA from 1 species